GUGCUCAAUUCAGCAGCACAUAUACUAAAAAUUGGAACAAUACAGAGAAUAUUAAUAUGGCCACUGAGCAAGGAUGACACUCAAGUUCAUGAAGCAUUUAAUAUUUCU